rnacentral:lncRNA from 1 species
AUGUAUCUUUGCUUCGUUGCUCACUUCCACUUCUUUCUCCUCAUAUUUUCGACUUUCUUUUGUUCAGAGGUCUUUUGUUUUGCUUUUCUCAUGGCUAUGGAUAACUCAUUUGAUAAGUAACCAUCGACCUAAACCUUUGAGUCUUGUGUUUCUAUUUUGGAUAUUAUGAGUAAGGUGCUAAGUGUGAGCCAACGUUGCAAUAUGGCUAGCUAAAUAAUUAUGCACCGGUUGUUUGGUUUUUUGUUGUUGAUGUCAACUUAGGUUGUGAUAUUUGGUUUGAGUGGUUAUAAUCUAUGUUAGGUUGUUGUACUGUUUGAUGUUGUUUACUUAUUAAGAGUGUUGUAAUGUCCUAUGGUCAUGUUAUUAUGUAAUCAUGGUUUUAAUCAAAGGUUAUAAACCUAAUGUUGAAGUUAUUUUGAUCUUUUUACAUGUAUGUUUUUUGUUUGGUAUUUUAUAAGUGUACUGUACUUGUUCUGUAAAACAAACUACAGUGACAGUUGCCUUCAUCAUGGAGGAGGUUGGCUUGAACAAUAGGGGAGAAAUAGUGGGUUUACUUUGAAUUGUUAGCGUUAGAAUAGUUAGCACUCAUGGUUUCAAGCGUUUAUUAAGAGAAAAAUUUUACAAGGAAGAUUUGCAUGUUUUUGUUUGUGGUACUUUAGACCAACAGCUUAUAUAGAUAAAUAAAAUUUUGCUAAAAGGAUUCUUAUAGCCAAUGGGACUUCUUUAAUUUGUUUCAUC